rnacentral:rRNA from 1 species
ACAAGUUGACAAGAGCAUCGGGUGGAUGCCUUGGCGUCGGAAGGCGAUGAAAGACGUGGUAAGCUGCGAAAAGCCUCGGGGAGAAGCUAAACAUUCUAUGAUCCGGGGAUUUCUGAAUGGGGAAACCCGGCGGAGGUCAUGCUCCGUCGCGGGCACUUGAAUACAUAAAGUGUCCAGCGCCAACUCAGGGAAGUGAAACAUCUCAGUACCUGAAGGAAAAGAAAUCAAACGAGACUCCCAAAGUAGCGGCGAGCGAAAUGGGAUGAGCCCAAACCGGCUGGAUUCGUUCAGCCGGGGUUGUAGGGCCGGCAUAUGUGAUUCAUGAGUAGGCAGGGGAAAUGAGCUGGAAAGCUCUGCCAGAGCGGGUGACAGCCCCGUACCUGAAACCGAAAGCGACACAGCCGGUACCUGAGUACCGCGAGACACGUGGAACCUCGUGGGAAUCCGGGAGGACCAUCUUCCAAGGCUAAGUACUAACCGACGACCGAUAGUGUACCAGUACCGUGAGGGAAAGGUGAAAAGAACCUCUGUUAGAGGAGUGAAAUAGAAUCUGAAACCUGGUGCUUACAAGCUGUGAGAGCGGACUUGUUCCGUGAUCACGUGCCUUUUGCAUAAUGAGUCAGCGAGUUAAUCUGUACUGCAAGGUUAAGCGUGAGUGGAGCCGUAGGGAAACCGAGUCUGACAAGGGCGAUGAGUAGUGCGGAUUAGACCCGAAACCGGGUGAUCUAUCCAUGAGCAGGUUGAAGCAAGGGUAAAACCUUGUGGAGGACCGAACCAAUACCGGCUGAAAACGGUUUGGAUGACUUGUGGAUAGGGGUGAAAGGCCAAUCAAACCCGGUGAUAGCUGGUUCUCCCCGAAAUAUAUUGAGGUAUAGCCUCAUGGAUUGUCUACCGGAGGUAAAGCACUGACAGGGCUAGGGGUCCUACCAGAUUACCAAACCCUAUCAAACUCAGAAUGCCGGUCAGAUGUACCAUGGGAGUCAGACGGCGGGUGCUAAGGUCCGUCGUCGAGAGGGUAAGAGCCCAGAUCAACAGCUAAGGUCUCCAAAUCUAUGCUCAGUGGUUAAGGUGGUGACGUUGUAGAGACACCCAGGACGUUGGCUUAGAAGCAGCCAUCGUUUAAAGAAAGCGUAAUAGCUCACUGGUCUAAUGACGUUGCGCCGAAAAUGUAACGGGGCUAAGCAUAGUACCGAAGCUUUGAAUUCCGCGUAUGCGGUCUGGUAGGGGAGCGUUCUUCACGGGCUGAAGGUGUGUCGUAAGGCAUGCUGGACUGUGGAGAAGUGAUUAUGCUGACAUGAGUAACGAUAAAACGGGUGAAAAACCCGUUCGCCGUAAACCCAAGGUUUUCCGGGUAAAGGUAAUCUUCCCGGAGUUAGUCGGCCCCUAAGGCGAGGCUGAAAGGCGUAGCUGAUGGGAAACGUGUUAAUAUUCACGUACUUGUGUGUUCGCGCGAUGAAGGGACGCAGGAAGAUAGGCAAGCCGGGCGCUGGUUGUCCCGGUGCAAGCGUGUAGGGAUGAGAAGUUGGCAAAUCCGCUUCUCUCUAUCCUGAGACGCGAGUCCGUGACCGAAAGGUCUGAAGUUGUUGAGUCUAUGCUGCCUAGAAAAGCUUCUAAGUAUAGGACACGCAAACCGUACCGGAAACCAACUCAGGUGGGUGGGAUGAAUAAUCCAAGGCGCUCGAGAGAACUCUGGCCAAGGAACUCGGCAAAAUAACCCCGUACCUUCGGAAGAAGGGGUGCUUUUUAGGGUGAAGCGAUUCACUCUGUCGAGCCCUGAAAAGCCGCAGAGAAAUGGUGGUGGCGACUGUUUACUAAAAACAUAGGUCUGUGCCAAGUCGUAUAGACGACGUAUACGGACUGACGCCUGCCCGGUGCUGGAAGGUUAAAAGGAGGAGUCAGCGCAAGCGAAGCUCCGAAUUGAAGCCCCAGUAAACGGCGGCCGUAACUAUAACGGUCCUAAGGUAGCGAAAUUCCUUGUCGGGUAAGUUCCGACCUGCACGAAUGGCGUAACGAUCUCCACACUGUCUCGGCCAGAGACUCGGUGAAAUUGAAGUCGCGGUGAAAAUGCCGUGUACCCGCAGAAAGACGGAAAGACCCUGUGCACCUUUACUAUAGCUUGACAUUGGGAUUUGAGCCUGCAUGUGUAGCAUAGGUGGGAGGCUGUGAACUCUGUACGCCAGUAUGGAGGGAGCCAUCGUUGAAAUACCACCCUUGUUUGUUCAGGUCCCUAACUCUUCGCCGUGAUCCGGUAAGAGGACAGUGUCUGGUGGGUAGUUUGACUGGGGCGGUCGCCUCCCAAAAUGUAACG